rnacentral:rRNA from 1 species
CGUAGGUGGCAAGCGUUGUCCGGAGUUGCUGGGUGUAAAGGGCGUGUAGGCGGGAAGAUAAGUCAGAUGUGAAAUUCCAUGGCUCAACUGUGGCGCUGCAUCUGAAACUAUUUUUCUUGAGUGAUGGAGAGGAAAGUGGAAUUCCUAGUGUAGCGGUGAAAUGCGUAGAUAUUAGGAGGAACACCAGUGGCGAAGGCGACUUUCUGGACAUUAACUGACGCUGAGGCGCGAAAGCGUGGGGAGCAAACAGGAUUAGAUACCCUGGUAGUCCACGCUGUAAACGAUGGAUACUAGGUGUAGGAGGUAUCGACCCCUUCUGUGCCGGAGUUAACACAAUAAGUAUCCCACCUGGGGAGUACGGCCGCAAGGUUG